GAUCUCUGCCUCCUAACUAAGCCAGUUAUGAAAUUGCACUGCCAUUUACAUGGGUUUACUCUAAAGGGCAGUUAUUUCAAUCAAGAAAAAAUGAUGAUGACGAAGGAGAGGGAUCCUGGGACGGGAAAAGAGAAAAGUCAGGUGGAUGGAAGGGAACAGAAGUUGGCGAUGGCUUUGCAGCCGUACUAGGGUUUUUAAGAUUGGGGAUUUAGGGUUUUAUUCCUCGAAUGAUUAAAU
rnacentral:misc_RNA from 1 species